GAUGAACGCUGGCGGCGUGCCUAACACAUGCAAGUCGAGCGAAUGGAUUAAGAGCUUGCUCUUCGGAUUAGUGGCGAACGGGUGAGUAACACGUGACUAACCUGCCCCUUUCUCUGGGAUAACGCUCCGAAAGGAGUGCUAAUACCGGAUACUCACAUCGAGGCACAUGCCUUGAUGUGGAAAGUUUUUCGGAAAGGGAUGGAGUCGCGGCCUAUCAGCUUGUUGGUGAAGUAACGGCUCACCAAGGCGACGACGGGUAGCCGGCCGGAGAGGGCAACCGGCCACGCUGGGACUGAGUCACGGCCCAGACUCCUACGGGAGGCAGCAGUGGGGAAUAUUGCACAAUGGGCGAAAGCCUGAUGCAGCGACGCCGCGUGAGGGAUGAAGGUCUUCGGAUUGUAAACCUCUUUCAGUAGGGACGAAGCGAAAGUGACGGUACCUAAAGAAGAAGCACCGGCUAACUACGUGCCAGCCGCCGCCGUAA
rnacentral:rRNA from 1 species